rnacentral:rRNA from 1 species
AGAGUUCCAUUCUGGCUCAGGAUGAACGCUGGCGGCGUGCCUAAUACAUGCAAGUCGAACGCUUCUCUUCCGUGAAGAGUGGCUAACGGGUGAAUAAUACAUAAAUAACCGGGCAUCUAGCGGGGGAUAACUGAUGGAAACCUCAACUAAGACCCCAUAAGUGUAUAGAUCGCAUGAACUCUAUGUGAAAAGUGCUACGGGACUGGUACAUGAUGGACUUAUGGCGCAUUAGCUGGUUGGUAGGGUAACGGCCUACCCUGGCGACGAUGCGUACCCGACCUGAGAGGGUGACCGGCCACACUGGGACCGAGACACGGCCCAGACUCCUACGGGAGGCAGCAGUAGGGAAUUUUCGGCAAUGGGGGAAACCCUGACCGAGCAACGCCGCGUGAAGGAAGAAGUAAUUCGUUAUGUAAACUUCUGUCAUAGAGGAAGAACGGUGGAUAUAGGGAAUGAUAUACAAGUGACGGUACUCUAUAAGAAAGCCACGGCUAACUACGCGCCAGCAGCCGCGGUAAUACGUAGGUGGCGAGCGUUAUCCGGAAUUAUUGGGAGUAAAGAGGGAGCAGGCGGCACUAAGGGUCUGUGGUGAAAGAUCGAAGCUUAACUUCGGUAAGCCAUGGAAACCGUAGAGCUAGAGUGUGUGAGAGGAUCGUGGAAUUCCAUGUGUAGCGGUGAAAUGCGUAGAUAUAUGGAGGAACACCAGUGGCGAAGGCGACGAUCUGGCGCAUAACUGACGCUCAGUCCCGAAAG